rnacentral:rRNA from 1 species
GAAGUGCGAAUGCUGACAUGAGUAACGAUAAGGGGGGUGAAAAACCCCCCCGCCGGAAGACCAAGGUUUCCUGAGCAACGCUAAUCGGCUCAGGGUAAGUCGGCCCCUAAGGCGAGGGCGAAAGCCGUAGUCGAUGGGAAGCAGGUUAAUAUUCCUGCACUUAUAUUUAUUGCGAUGGAGAGACGGAGAAGGCUAGGCUAGCGCGGCGAUGGUUGUCCGCGUUUAAGCAAGUAGGCUGGGGGAUUAGGCAAAUCCGGUCCCCUAAGGCUGAGAUGUGAUGACGAAGAGGGUCUUUGUACCCUUGAAGUAGUUGAUGCCAUACUUCCAGGAAAAUCUUCUAAGCUUCAGAUAAAUAUGAACCGUACCCCAAACCGACACAGGUGGUCAGGUAGAGAAUACCAAGGCGCUUGAGAGAACUCGGGUGAAGGAACUAGGCAAAAUGGCACCGUAACUUCGGGAGAAGGUGCGCCGGUUUUGGUGAUGGGACUUGCUCCCUAAGCCUAGGCCGGUCGAAGAUACCAGGCCGCUGCGACUGUUUAUUAAAAACACAGCACUCUGCAAACACGUAAGUGGACGUAUAGGGUGUGACGCCUGCCCGGUGCCGGAAGGUUAAUUGAUGGGGUUAGCUUCGGCGAAGCUCUUGAUCGAAGCCCCGGUAAACGGCGGCCGUAACUAUAACGGUCCUAAGGUAGCGAAAUUCCUUGUCGGGUAAGUUCCGACCUGCACGAAUGGCGUAACGAUGGCGGCACUGUCUCCACCCGAGACUCAGUGAAAUUGAAUUUGCGGUCAAGAUGCCGUAUACCCGCGGCUAGACGGAAAGACCCCGUGAACCUUUACUACAGCUUUGCACUGGACUUUGAAUUUAUCUGUGUAGGAUAGGUGGGAGACUUUGAAGCGUAAACGCCAGUUUGCGUGGAGUCGACCUUGAAAUACCACCCUGAUGACUUUGAGGUUCUAACUUAGGCCCGUAAUCCGGGUUGAGGACAGUGUAUGGUGGGUAGUUUGACUGGGGCGGUCUCCUCCCAAAGAGUAACGGAGGAGCGCGAAGGUACCCUCAGCAUGGUCGGAAAUCAUGCGAUGAGUGCAAUGGCAUAAGGGUGCUUGACUGCGAGACAGACACGUCGAGCAGGUACGAAAGUAGGUCAUAGUGAUCCGGUGGUUCUGUAUGGAAGGGCCAUCGCUCAACGGAUAAAAGGUACUCCGGGGAUAACAGGCUGAUACCGCCCAAGAGUUCACAUCGACGGCGGUGUUUGGCACCUCGAUGUCGGCUCAUCACAUCCUGGGGCUGAAGUCGGUCCCAAGGGUAUGGCUGUUCGCCAUUUAAAGUGGUACGCGAGCUGGGUUUAGAACGUCGUGAGACAGUUCGGUCCCUAUCUGCCGUGGGCGUUUGAGAAUUGAGAGGAGCUGCUCCUAGUACGAGAGGACCGGAGUGGACGAACCUCUGGUGUUCCGGUUGUGAUGCCAAUUGCAUUGCCGGGUAGCUACGUUCGGAAAGGAUAACCGCUGAAAGCAUCUAAGUGGGAAGCCCCCCUCAAGAUUAGUUCUCACUGGAACUUUAAGUUCCCUAAAGGACCCUCGAAGACUACGAGGUUGAUAGGCAAGGUGUGUAAGCGCUGUGAGGCGUUGAGCUAACUUGUACUAAUUGUCCGUGAGGCUUGACCAU